AAGUAUACCAAAGGUUUUUCAAGCUUCCAGAACGGAAAAUUCAUUACCUGACGAGGGAUUCGUGCGAUAUCAGUUUUUGCAGGAAAGUUAACGCGAAAUUGACGAGUUAGGUGAUCGAUUUUCCUUAAGUCGCAUAUUUGAACAAAAAUUAGUAAAAUCAGAGUUAACUUCGUUUGCUUCUUCGGAUGAGAAAAAAAAAAUAAAGGCUGAUAGUUUCUAAAGAA